GAGGGGCGGGCUGGCUGCCGAGUGACAGAGACGGGGCUGCAGGAGGGGCUUCUGGCCACAGGAAUUAGGGUUCUCGGGAGCGGGGAGAGAUCCGGGGUCCAGCCCUUCCCACACUGGGAGGACCACCUCUGCCUCAGGUAGGGACACCUUUCCUUCAUGGUGCCAUGUGAGUUUUGUGCCUGAGUUUGAAACGUGAACUUUGGAGGAAUUGAUACAGAAUCAUUGUGCAGUUUUGCUCGUGGGGAAGUGACACCAUUUGCUUUUUCCUUGAAAGUCUCCUGGUCAGGAUGUUGAUUAAAAAAAAUAUGGCGCCAUGGAUCCUGAUGGGUGUCAUCUCUCGAUGCUGAAAGUAUAUUUUAAAACGAACCAAAGGUAUCAUCUACUGAUGACCCAAAUUUCCUUUCAAGAAUUAACAAAUCCCUCUCGUUUUUUUUUUUCCCCUAGGAACUCUAUGCAUCUGUAGUUAAUCUAAGAAUUAACAUUUAGCAAAUUACUGCCUCAGUGCCUUAAAUGAGGUAUGUGCCUGGUGGCUCUGUUGAUUAGAGCCCUGUGCUAAUGAGGUCACGAGUUCAGUCCCCAGGAGGGCUGGUUCGCUUCUCCAUGGUUCCCCUCCGGACCCUGGCCAUGCCUCCAGAGGAACACUGGUCACAAGUGGCCUUCUGGGGAAGAAUCAACACAAAUUCUUCACGAUUUGUGGGAAAAGACAGCUCAAAGCAGAUGCCUUGAGUUAACCUGGAAUAUGGCAGUGAUCCCAUGGGGUGGCUAAAUGGUACCCUAGGAGGCUGCAAAGACGUACUACAGACUGUGCCAGUGCUACGCUUCCUGGGGUGGCUUCCGUGCUGGGAAAGCUGGCUUUGAUGCGUGUGUGGGACUCUGUCCUGCAAGGAAAGGGGAGUGUUUUCUAGAAACAGUGAGAGGCGGGAUGCCUAUUCAAGAGGCAGAGUCAGGGGGAAGCUUUAGGGGAAUUUGGUUGCAUUUUCAUUGAUCGCUUAUUCAAAAGAUGGAUCAUUUGGGGACUGCCAAAUAGUGUCUGUCGUCAUGCACCCCCUGGGACCACUUUUCCUGUGGUCAGGCCACGCCACCGACUUGCCUCAAGCUGGCAGUAGACCCAGGAGUGAAGAGCUUUCAGGGCGUGGGGGAUUCUCACACUCACGCAUUCUCUCCAUUUUUCACUCCCAGAAACCACUUUUUCAGGUCCAGGUUCAGUUCUGAAGCUAAAUCUCAGCCAAGCAUGACUGGGUGCAUUGGUAUCCUCUGAGGUCGUUUUUUUGAGUUUAGGGAAGGAUAAUGCCUAGCGACCUCCAGCUGUGCCUGGUGACAUUCCUGGUUGAAACCAGCACCCUCGCUGGCUUCCUCCUAUUUACCAAGAAUACAUUCUCCACCUCUCUUUUAAAAAAUUUUUUUUAAAAAUAAUUUUGAUCGCUAGGAGGAUGCUUUGUAUAUAGUAGGAGUUCCGUAAAUAUUUGUCAAAUGAAUGCGUGAGUGGAUGAAAGAAUCAAAUGUAGAAUUGGUCCCAUUUAGAAAAAGACAGUGUUUUUAAUUUUAUCAUUUUAUUGCUUUUCUCUUUACAAAAUUCUAUGUGGUUAUUAUAAAUAAUUUAGAAAAUAGAGAUGAGCAGAACUUAAGAAAAUAAAAAUCACCCGUAAUGCCAUCACUUGGAGAUAGCCUUUCUUGACAUUUUGGGGUGUGUUAUAUUUAUAUCUAUAUGCAUAUCUAUUAUAUAUAUGGGACUCAGACAAUGUGUGAUUUUUUAAAACUUAUAUCCAGAAUCUUUGCAUGAUAUUAUAUAUUCUUCUGUGUUAUUAUUUUAAUUUUUUCAGAGCAUUUUAUUCUAUGACUUGACUUCAACUUAGUCGCAUAUUAAAACAUCCCUGUAGCUUAAACUUUCUACAUAGCUUUAUUUCCUUGGGAUAAAUUCCUAUAAGAAGAAUUGCAUGGUUCCAUGGUUUUCUAAUUCACUGUAUGUUGGCAAGUUAUCGGUUAGAGCAGCGCCACCAAUACCUACUCCUACCUGCGAUCGCUUAGUGUCCGGCCACACUCCUCCUUUGUUGAACAGUGUGUUGUCAUUCUUAUAUUUGCUAGUCCAUAGGCAAAAAGUAUAUCCAAGUUCUUCUACUUUGUAUUUCUUUUUUUAAAAUUUAUUUUUAUUUUUUGUUUUUUUUUUUACUCUAUUGCACUCUUUUAUAUUUAAAAAAUUAAUUAACAAUUUUAUUUUUUAUUUUUUGGCUGCAUUGGGUCUUCGUUGCUACGCGUCGGCUUUCUCUAGUUGCGGCGAGCAGGGGCUACUCUUCGUUGCGGUGCGCGGGCUUCUCAUUGUGGUGGCUUCUCUUGCUGUGGAGCACAGGCUCUAGGUGCAUGGGCUUCAGUAGUUGCAGCAUGCGGGCUCAGUAGUUGCAGCACACGGGCCCUAGAGCAUGCGGGCUUCAGUAGUUGUGGUGCACUGGCUCAGUAAUUGUGGCUCAUGGGCUCUAGAGCGCAGGCUCAGUAGUUGUGGCGCACGGGCUUAGUUGCUCCACAGCAUGUGGGAUCUUCCUGGACCAGGGAUCAAACCUGUGUCCCCUGCAUUGGCAGGCGGAUUCUUAACCACUGUGCCACCAGGGAAGUCCCUAAUUUUUUUUUUUUUACAGUAGGUCCUUGUUGGUUAUCUAUUUUAAAUAUAGCAGUGUGUACAUGUCAAUCCCAACUCCCAUAGUGAAACUUAGUAUUUUUUCAUGUGGCCAUUUUAACAUCUUCUUUGCAAAUUGCCUGUUAAUGUUUUUGAACACCCACAUAUUUGGGGGGGCCAAUAUACGUACCCCUCUCUACUUCAUGGACUAUUGUAAGAAUUAGUUGAAAUAACCUAUCUGAAUAUGUUUGAAACUGACACAGCAAUACACAAAUGUGUUGACCACGUUUAUGACCUGUAGGGUGAGGGUCAGAAGGAAUGGCCAUCUGGAGACAAACGGGCUGAGUCAGUGGUACCCAUUGAAGGCUUGGGCAGCUCUGCCUGACGACGUAUGGGGAGAGGCACCUGUGAGAAAGGGAAAGGGGCCUUGACCUAGAGACUUGUUACUGAGAGAAGGCCACCGGAAAUAGACAAGGUCAGUGGCAGUACAGGGGCUGGCAGCUCGAAAUGUUGUUUCAGUUGUUACAACUAGUAUAUGGUACUUCUCUAAUUUGAAAAUGAUCCGAUAAAGAAAAAAACAAUUAAGACACUCCACCCUGCAGCAGGGUCGGCAAUUCAUGAGGCAACAGGAGCUGAGUUCUGGGCUGUCAUGGGUGCCCGUGCUGACUUGGACAGAGCAGCCCCAGGGAGCCCCUGAGAGUCAUACCUGGACCCUGCAGGGCGCCAAGCUCAAGGCCAUCUCGCACUCAGAUGAUGGGGAAGUCGUGCCUCCUUGGCAAGCAGGACCCUGUGAACAGGUAAGACAUUUCCCUGGCUGGAAGUAAACACAGGCCGUCCUCCCAGAUCCAGUGUGCACCACUGCCUGGCAGGGAGAAGGCAGGGCUUAAGUGCAGUGGGAAGAACUUGAGUUUGUGCAGGAAGAGAAAUGAGAGCUUUUCUUCUUCAGUUCAAGGGCUGCCACUGCAGCCGAUGAUACAAAGUUAUCUGACUGGGGUUUUAUGUUAUUUUACACCAGGUAAAGCUGCUUUGAGGCAACACUGUUUCCUGAGACAGGGACUGUGCUAGGGCCUGGGGACAAAGUUGGGGACAGACUGUGAUGAUCUCUGGCUUUCCGGAGUCUCAGCUGGGUUGGGGACAUGGACGGUACACGAGGGACCAAGCAAACAGGGAGAGUGUGGUCCAUGGCAAUCAUGCUCCAAAGGAAACGGAAAUGGGCAAGGAUCAGGGCUGGGCCAUUUGGGAUUUGGAGGCAAUGCAAGAUCUUUCUGGGGAGAGCACAUUUAAACCGAAUUAAGAGUGAGGAGACGGGCCAGCAGGUGAAGAAAGGCAGACCCAGGAGGGAGGAGGCGUCUCAGCCGUUCCACAGGGUGACAGCAGAGCCGUGAGCUGGUCAGGAUGAGGUUUGAGAGGCCAGCAGGCAUCAGAUCACACCUGGCCUCAUUCGUGCUUCAUGUUUAGAAGUUUGAUUUUACCCUAAGCGCAAAGGCAAGGUAGAGUGUGCUUAGAAAUCCAACAUCAUAACGCCUUGCGGAAGCCUCAACUCAGCGUGUGUAAAGAUUUGUUGAGUGAGCUCAAAAUAAAUAAACAAAUUGAUGUUCUGUGCUUGGAAAACAUCCUGUUUUAUUUUAUCCUAUUUUUAAACUUUGGUUUUGGCUUUUAUUACAUGAAAAAUCACUCCCAUUUAGAUUUAUUUUUGUUAAAAGACCAAGCUUACAGGGAUGAGAAUUAAAAGUCUGAUGUUGAGAAACGUGCCUGAAAUGCAAGGAAAGGUCGAUAAGACAGUGUCUCCACAGCCUGGAUCGUGUGGAGUGCUUUCAGAAACCAUCACCCGUUGUGCAGGUGAGGCGGCAGCUCAGAGACGUGAACAAAGGCUUGGCAAGGCCACAUCAUUGUGUGAGGUCCCGGGAACGUGUGUCUCUGCUCUGGUGAACUUUCCGUGAGCCCAGGGCAAAUGGUGGCCACCAUGGCCUCAUGGAGUUGCUUGGGCUCCUUUCUGUGGCCUCUGGGGCUCUUGCUGUAGGAGUUUGUGAAAACAGGAAGGAUAUGGGAUGGUCAUGGGGGUUCUCGUUACUCCGUGGUGCACUGGGGGCCCGUGUCCGCUCAUCAGGUAGACUAGAGACUCGGCCCCUAACCUCCCUCUCUGACCACCAAGCGUCCACCUCUGAGACCUAAUCAGGGCUCCCACAUCUUGAGGUUGGGGAGACGCCCAAGGAGAUCAGUGGAAUUCCACCUUUCUCCUCCCAUCCCAACACUUAAAAAUAUGGGUUGUGAUGAUUUGGGACGUGCCACCUCUCUACACAUUGGCAUCUGGGUCCUCUGUCCUCCUGGAGCCCUUGCCGGUCCUCCUCAUCCUUCUUGAACUUGUCUCCAAGGAAGUCUGCAGUGAUCACUAACAUCACCCCUAUUAUCUGAGGUCCACUGAGGUGCGUCAGGGUUUUGGGAUGCUCACGUGGCACUCAACCCAGCUACUGUAGAUCUGCAGCCACCUUGGGUUUCGCCUUUCCUGGCAGGAUCCCACUGGGAACUCUUGGGGGCAAAACAUUUCUUUUGCAAUUUAAUCGUCAGCAGGUGGGAUACAGUAUUCCCUUCCUGAGCUUGAAUUGAAGGAACCCAUAAUCUUCGAGUUCCAGCUCUUGAGAAGAAUGGCAGCUGCUGGAAGAUGUGAACUUGACAUUUGAAAUUGGCGGACACCUGGGAGUUAGUGUGAGGUAGAAAAACAAACAAGGGCUGUGGGGUUGGGUAGAUGUAGGUUCCAGACCAGCUCUGCACUUCCUGUCAUGCGGCUCUGGAGUAACAACUUGUAUGGUCUCUGUGAGGCCCAUUUUUCCAUCUUUAGAAUGGGGAUAGUAUAGUCUACUGCAUAAUAUUUCGGUGAGGAUGAAAAGAAGAGAAUGAAAAUAUCUGUCAUACAAGAGAUGCUCAAGAGACAUUAGCUCUUAUGUUCCUUUACCCUCAAUAAUGUCAUGACUCCUUCCAAAAACAGAACAUCCUUCAGAAUAGAACCCUACCCAUUUUUUGGCUGAUGGGACAUCCAAAAGGACAUAGGUGCCUUUGUUUGGUCUGUGGUAAGUUGACUUUGCACUUUAAAAGGGAAAAAAGGGAAAUGUGUAGUCCCUCAAACAAUGACCCCUUUUAAAGCCUACGUUGGACUCCGAUUUCAAAGAAUAUUCUUAUUAACAUAGUUCCUUAUAAAUGGAGUGCCACUCAUCAAAUAUUUAUAAAGAGUAGCCUGAGAAGCCAGUGUAGCGCUUGGCAAGCCUGGGGACAUUUCCCACAUGCUCUGUGGGAUGGCGUAGGUAGGGGACACCCUUUAAUUUUGUGACAUGAUUUGGGGGCUCCAGCGCAAGCUGGACUUGGCAUGGUUUCUCCCAGUUCAGGGCCCGUUCAGGCCUCGCAGGCAACUCCCUUUGAAGUCCACGGGAGCUCUUUGAAUGGAAAACAUACACAACGGGGUGCUGAUGCAAAUAGGAAUCAGGCCUGAUGUACGUGGGGAAUAAAGGUGCUUCUCCACCCAAAUAUUAGCUCUUUAACCAGGAAACUAUGGUUUGAUCAUUAAAUAAAAGAGCCUCCUCCCUGCCCCCAAAACCCCACAAUCUACCACCAGAGCUCCACCAUCCAUUUGCUCAGAAAAUGAUAAACCUGCUAGUUACCUGAGAGUUUUAAUUAAGCAACAGAUACAGACAGUGCAGGGCUGGUUUUGCUUUAAACAUAUCAAUAAAAUAAGCAUUCUCAAUUCCAGGGCAACUUGUUCAAUGAUAAAAAAAACGAAGCAUCACUAUCUUUUGAAAUAUCACUCAUCAAGUGUGAUCAUUUAGAAAAAUAUCUCUAUUAGAGACAGUUAGAGAUGUUUUUUGGUUGAAAAUGCAGUCGCCGAUGGAGUGCAAAGCUGCAAUUUGUAGACAGCAGGGGACAUCAUGUAAAUGGAAUCACAUGGUAGCUGUUCUUUUGUGUCUGGCUUCACUCUUUCAACACUAUGUUUGUGAGCUGUAUCUAUGUUGUUGGGUGCCUUCAGUGGGUUGGAUGGUGCCCACCGCAGUGGUGAGGGUGAUCUUCUUUACUCCAUCCACCCAUCCAAAUGCUGAUCUCCUCCAGAAAUGCCCUCACAGACAUGCCCAGAAAUAAUGUUUCACCAGCUACCUGGGCAUUCCUUAGCCCAGUCGAGCUGACAUGUAAAAUCAACCGUCACAAAUAACUGCAUUUGAAGGGUAAAAGCCCCAUGUCUCCUCGGCCAGUGGGUGUUUAUCAGAGGACAGUGGAAAAGAGGGACAAAAAUGCCUGGAUAUAACAUUAAGAGUUGGCAGGACCCGACCUCUAAAAGGAAGUGUUAAAACAAUGUUUUUGACAUCAAGGCUUUUCUCAAAGUUGAUAAAGGAGAGCUUGUGGAAAAAGCUCAUGUGCUGUCUCUUCAGUGGAGAGUUCAAUCCAGGAAUAAGAUGUGAUUAAGGAUCUUGAGAUGGAGGGUUACCUUGGAUUAUCUGGGCAAAGCACUGCCCGUUUCUUCAACUCUGGAGCUGUGGAGGAGUAUUUUUUUGGGACUGGAGGCCACACCCAUCCCUUCUCUGGGCGUGUCAUCUCCCUCUGUCUCAUGGGGAAACUCACACCAUGCACUGGAGCUUCAGCAGGAAGCACUGAUUUGGCUUCUGUUCCUGGUCCAAUCCAAGUCCCAGCAUCGCGGCGAGAGGAAGAGCCGUUGCCAUGGACUAAAAGGCCAGUGAGGGCGGACAUCCCCUCCACCACCUCUCACGGACGGAGCGGCCCCGCAAGGCAGACGUCACAGCCUUCAGUUUGCAGUUCUAACAGUUAACCUGUUGAUAAUGGUGAACAUCACCUUCUUCCUCAUGGGUGUCACACCAGCAGAUGCCCUCACAGCCCCGCCAGGAAAGGGUUCUCACGACAGCUGCUUUCACUCUUCUGCUCAGAAGGGAUGCACUUCAGUGAACUCCCCCCGCCCCCAGGCGUUAUGCUGAAAUCAUAUUUCCAGGGGGCAGAGGUGAGUGCCGUCUACCUAUCUGAUUAAACUGCCCGUUGUUUUAAAUCUAUUUUCACAGAGACUUACGUCCUCCAGGACACAGGCAGUGACACAGCACAUUAAAAAUUAUAACUGUA